UACUCUAGGGCAGAUUUGCUUUAAAAAAAAAAAAAAGGAUUUUGGAGGAUAAUGUCUCCUUGUCUUCAGCCUUGAAUGCACCAGGUAAACGGAGUAACCCUUGCCUAUACAAUUUCAUUGCCCGUUCCCUAAACAGGAAAGAGACUUGUAAUAAGACACUUAAGUGUUGAAAGAAUCUAGAACAAACAGCCCAGGGGGUGGAUGUACUGUACUUUGAAAAGAUGUUUAAUGCCAAAGUGUGGUCUUCGGGUUGAGGCAGCACGCCUGGGUUUUGGCCUGAAGAAGCAGUUCUGCCUCUCAACCUGGGGCCUAUGUCUCAUGUGCAGGGAAGAACCCCCUCCUGGAUGCACAUUGCUUGAGAUAUGAGCCUGUCUAGAGGAAGCUGGAGGAUCCUGGAGAGCUACAGGUAUCUAGAGGACAGGAGGGUCUCUAAUCUGGAAGAAAUAGGCACCUCCCUCAAAAUGCUGCAGGAGGGGCUCCAGAGAACCCAUUGCAGGAGGGUAGUCCAUGAGGCACUGUGUAGCUUGGUGUGUGGCUGAGGAAUGGAGCUGGGAAUCAAUGGGGAAAGAACUGAGUAACAAAUUUGGGAAUCCUUGACAAAAAUACCCUGAAGAAAUAAACCAGGCUCUGAGGCUGAGGCAGAGCACAAGGAAGGGGCUGGUGGGGGGCGGUGUGGGGCGGGGUAGGAUUCGAAGGGCUCUAAAGUGGAGUCCAUGGGAACUGGUCACAAAGCACCUACCCCAGUGCAUACUUGGAUGUUUGGUUCGGGGUAGACAUCAGUUUGGCUUGAGUAGUGAGGUUCUGUUUCUCAAUUUACAGGACUGCUAACCUAGGAUCUGAACUUGAGUUCAGCCGGUACCACAAACUUACUGGGAAAGUCACUUGACGGGUUUAGGGUCAGUUUCUUCAUUUCAAAAUACAAUGAAUGUGUCAAUCGCUCAACAGACAGUCCCUAAGGCCUUGCCCUGCUCUCCAGUUCCGUGACUUGAGGAAAGGUAAACACCUGAAGCACUGUGACUUGGAGGCAGCAAAUGCGUCUCUACAUUUCAUCUUCCUUUGUGGAGGUCAGACUCUCAGAGGCAGCCCUGAGCUGGGCUGGCCACGAGGAGAGGAGGGUCAGGAGGAUCCAGGUUGUCGGGCUGCUGAACCACCUGGCCCGUGAAUCCCACGUGUCCAACAAGCUCCUCUCUACAAAGAGGCAGGUGUUGGACUAGGGUCAGGGGACAACCAAAAGGGAAGGUGGAGGCCCGGAGGCUGCUUCUAGGCUACGAGGAGGAAGGGAUGGUCAAGGCAGGAAUGGAAGAAGGGAGAAAGCACCAGAGUGGGGGUUCUUUUCUGUCUAUAUUGGUUUUUUAAGCUACAAAGGAUAAUCUUAAAACUUUUGUGAAAGGAGUUCUUAAACUGAGUUUGCACGCUUGAUACCACCAGCACACUGAAUUCCCUCUCACUCCUCUACUUCACAUUUUCACAAUAUCUGUCACACACAUUGUGGGAAACAUUGGCUUAAUUUCAUUCAAUAUAGAGCAAGUACCCACUGUGCACCCCUGCUUCCUACGUGUGAAAUGCACAGGUUGUGCAUCUACAACAAGGUUCAAACAAGAGGAUUCAGGCCCUGUGCUGUGAUCCUCUUGGUUUCCUGAUGUUCUGGAAGUCAGUAUGUCUCAGACCCAGAGAAGAAGGCAACUUCCCGUUUUAGGUGGCUUGCUACAAUCUUCUCUUCUUUUCUGAACUCCCUGCCCCAGCCAAACCCACACAAAAUAAGGGAAGAGAAACAUACUAAGAAUAGGAACUUGAAUAAUCCCUGAAUGAUAGCAAGCAGAGAGAAGCAACCAUGGCAAGUGCCCAUGUCAAGAGGGGAAUGAAAGUCUCGAGAUGGUUGGAAGCAACACAGCAUUAGUCAUCUCAUUGCAGUGGGAGAAGUCAGAAAGGCUAAAUCUCUACACCAAACAGAAGGACAUGGAGUGCAUGGCUUAAGGCUAGAAGGGAGAGUGAAUCCACUUUGCAGGGCAGAGUUCUCAAGGCAGGUGACAUUGGGAGGAUCAAGAACUCACCACAGCCAGGACCAGCGCACUGCCCCAUAGCACAUUCCAGGCCUUCCCCAUUUUUACUGAAACCAGCACACAUUCCAGCAGCAGCACCUCCCGCCCACUUCCUCCAUCAGAAUGCAAGGACAGGCAACAAGCAGACAAAUGGCCAUUCAGUGUUACAGAGACGGGUUCAAUCCAGAAUCACCAAACAUUUCACAAAGAACGCCACCAUGAACAUCAAAUAAAGAAACAAAAUAAAAGAGGCUCAAUAGACAGAACUCAAAUCAGAGGGAUCAGAGCUAAUGGAGCAAUGAGAACAGGAGUGUAUAUGUAGGUUUCAUGUCCACAGAAAGAUAAAAAUAUAUUUCAGUCAUGAACAAGACUAGGAGUUAUGAGACAAGCACAGACUUGCGAAAAAAGACCCAAGUAGAGAUCUUGGAAAUGAGAAGCCACUGGGCAAUGGUCUUAGGUCAAAAUGAUCAUGAAAUGAGGUACAGGAAGCUGAUGAGGCACAAAGAAACCAACAAACAACCAACAGCGCCAGUGAGAGAAGUCCCUGGCUGCAGGAUAUUUUGAGUAAGGGAAAAAAAGAUGUUGAGAAAAAAACAUGUGGAGUCUAGGCCCACUUCAAAAUCCAACUAAAAUGUUUCUUUAGGGUCUACUAUGUUUGUGUGAUUCCCCUUACACAUUAAGCACCCGCAGUGUCCCCUCCAGAGACCAUGAAGGAGAAGACAGGAUUCAAGAGGAAACGCAAAGGAUGCAGAAGUAGAGAGGAAAGGAAGGGGCACCACAAUGCAGAGGAACAUGAAGUGUUUGGCGAAAGGGGACUCAUGGUGGACACUCAUGUUGGGAGGAGUAGGAAAAAUUGAAAGUAUUUAUUUUAAAAGAUGUUUUCUUAAAAACUAGCCAACUGAAAAGACAUUACUACAAUUCUUGAAAAUAUAAACACACAGUUGAGUCUGUUUGACAAAGUAGGACAAGAAAAUCAGGGAAGAGGUUUUUGCACUACCACAUCACAUUGCUAAAACAUGCCUGAGAGUGAAAACGAACUAGAUUUAUAUCUGCAUUUCCAGAAACCUAAAAAAAAAAAAAAAAAAAAUUCCAAAAUACACCAUAUAUUUUAGACUUAAUCUCUGACAAUAUUGACUGCAUUGUGUCUGUUCUCUUUCUUUUCUUUUUUUCUUUUCCUUUACAGCUGAGCACACAGUCAGAUAGCUCAACUAUGAUAAGCAUCCGACUGAGGCUAAACAUUGGCUCUUUUCUGCACGCCAAGUGAUUUCCAUCUUUGCCUCAAUUGUGUUAAGUUUAUGAAACCUAUGUUUCUUAUCACUGGUAUCAGCACUUUCAUUUUUCUGUGGGGGAAGAAUGCAGUGAAGUAUUCAAACAAUCGUACUAACACUGCUAUAGGACAAAGCAGGCAGCGCCCCUGGAACCAAGAAGCUGUCUGGUGGGCAGCAAGGCUGGUGAUGACUCAUUCAUCAAGGCGGCACACAAGGCCAGGCUUGGCGUUUGCAAAGUGGUUUCCGUGGAGUGCACUGGGGGAUUUGUGGGCUGUGCAAGAGUUGAACAUACAAAGGUUGAGGGUCAUCUGUGUGGGUGUAAGAAUUUGGCUAACAGUGAAAUAGGGGCAAGCUAAAUGAAGAAAUGACAGAAUUUGACAAUGUAACAAACUGUCAGGCAAGGUGGGUUGAGAAGAGCAAGAAAAGACAGAAACAUAAUUUUAAUAUUCAAAGAUAUAAGAUUCCCUGAGUCCAAGAGGGUCUCAUUCUCCUUGUCUCUCCAUCCAUUGAUUAAUUCAUUCAUUGACAUAUUCAUUCAUGUAUUCAUUGCCUCAUCCUAAAUAUCAAAGAUUACCUCCUAUAUGCAUGAUUAAUCUCUGCCUUCAGGGAGCUUACAUUUUAGUGGGGAAGAUGAAAUAUCAGGUGAUAUGGCAGAUGAUCUACGCUAGGAGCUAUCAAGCUAUUUUUAGGUAUUGGACACCUCUCUGCCAAUGAACUGCUACAUUGAAAAUGUAUCAAUGUAUACAAGUGGAGCUGCUAUUUUGGGGAUGGGGGAUGACGUGUAGGAACUCAGGAUGUAGUCUUGUGCUCUUUCUCAUAGCCGUUCUCUCUCUUCCCUUUUUAAAUCCUCAAAGUUUGGAAUACAAGUAUACUACAGUCAUGGUUUUGUAUUUAUUGAAUAAAAUAAACACUUUUAAUUCUUAAUUUUAUAAUCAAGGAGUUUGUCGUUUCCAAUUCGUCUGCCUGCUGCAAAAAGGAAUUAUUUCUCACUUGAAACCUGCUCAUGAGGGUUUCCCACUGUCCCACACCUCAUACUUUUCUACCUGAACACUCAGCUGCCUUCCUCCUCAGGAACCAUGCAAAACUUGGAAUGUUCUAACAUAGAACUGCAGUGAGGAGUGGCAUUUAUCCAGCAGCUUCUGAGUGCCGAGUUCUGUGCUAGAUGCUUAAAACAGGUCAUCUCAUAUGAUCUUCACUUACAAGCCUGCCAAGGACAGAUUAUAAGAGAAUUGUGUGGAGACAGAAGCUCAGAGAGGUAAAGGGCCCAAGGCUACCCAAUUCCUGAAAGAGAUGGGAUUCAAACCCACAUCCUCCUAGGUCUUAUGUGCACACUACCACUGCCUCCUGGCCUUUGUACUGCUUUGACGGUUCUCUCUCUCUCUCUUUCUGUCUCUCUCUGUCUCUCACUCUUGCCCUCUCUCUCUCACACACACACACACACAUGCACACACACACACAUGCACACACGCACACACAUCUCUUUGCUUGGAAAUACCCUCUCCUGAUGCUAAGCACUUUGAAAAUGCACAUUUACUGUCUCCUCCUCCCUGCCUGUUGUCCCAGGCUGCAGCUGCCACUCCUGAUGCCACAGUGUUAAUGUGCCAAAGAGCUGUUUUUCCUCUACUCUAAUAAACAUGUUUCUAUUCAUUUGCAAGUUGGUGUGUUUGUUUAUUUGAUGGGCUCAUACUAUUUGAGUAUGCCCAGAUAAUGUGUUAACCCCUCUGAUGCUAGGGCUCUCCAAGUGCCAGCCUCAGCCCUGGGCAUGCCGGCCUCACCAUGCUCAGAGCUAGUCCCAAGGGAGAGGUGGUGUCUUUGAGAGAUGAAACAUGGAGGUGAGUGGGGUGAGCACCAUAAUUGGAACAGCUGCGUUCAUUAUCCUAAAACAAAUUUAGUGCCAAUAAAAGGUGUUCAAGUGAGAAGAUUUAAGAAUGAAGAUUGACAGUCAAAGAAACAGCCACAUAGGAUCCAACCUCAAGGCCAGCCCCAUCCUUUGCAAUCUGCCUCACUCCAUUCCAAAGCUUAGCCGGAAACCCAGGCCCUCUUGGAUUUAAUCCACUGGUCCUCCCAGCUUUUGUUUAUCAAACCCUUACGUAGUGCUGACUACACUGUUUUAAGAGGUUUACAAAUAUUAGCUCAUUUACUCCUCACACCGACCCUAUGGGGUACAUACGAACACCACCCCCACUCCUUUCACAGAUGAGGAAACUGAGGCACAGAGAGCUUAAAUGACUAGAUCAAGGUUUCACAGCCAGUCAGUGAUGGAUCCAGGUUAGGAAGUCAGGGAGUUCACCACAAGGCCAUGCUGGCUAUUGGCCCAAGUGAACUUCUUUACAUAUGUCUUGAGACCUAUAAACUAGUUCAUAAAAAUUUUAAAUUCCUUUCUAAGUAAGUUAAUGAGGAAAGGCCUAACCUAGCAGCUGAGUACCCGCAUUCCACAGUCAGUCACUUUUUCUGUGUGACUUUGCAUUAGUUACCGAAUCUCAAAGAGUCUUGCCUUCCUUAUCUACAAAAUGGGGGUGAUGAUGGCACACUGGUGGUAAAAUGAGGUAAUUCGGUUAAGGACAUUGACACAGUGACAAGUGCCCUGUAAUGUGCAGUAAGUGUCACCGGUGUUGUUAUUGUUAUUGUUAAUGGCCAUCACUGAGUGUGCAAUACCCUUGACAAGACCUUUCAGAGGAUUGAGGAAAACCCAACUAAACAACAACAACAAAAAUAAACACACACAACAUACUCAUUCAGUGUGGAUUCCAGCUAUUGAAAACCACUGUUACAUCUGCAUUGCCAGCAGAAAGCUGAAUGCCUACAUGUCCACAGCAGUGAUGUCCCUGGAAGGUGCACCACCUGACCAUGGGCAGAGCACCAUAAAUACCAUGCUGCUACCUUCCAGCUCUGUGGGGUCUCUGUGGGCCCUGCUUCUUACCCACUCGCAUCCCGUCACUUCCUACUGCAUCCUCACACCAAGCCCUUGGAAUGCCUCACCAGUACCACCAUUCCCUCCCUUGACCUCUCCCUUAACCACAGAUAAUUCAUUCUGAGCUACACUCCAGGCAGGAAGGGUGUCUGAUCAUUUUCCAUGUCCUCCAUCUCAAUUCCAUCAUCUAAGGGAAUUACAUGCCUAGAUUUGCUACAAAUUAGAUGGAUACUUGGGUUAGCUUUUGGAAUGCCACCAGUACUCCCUCAAGAGAUUCACUUUUUCAAUUCAAGAUUGAUAAUGCUUAUAAAUCUCAAGUUCAUAAGUUAGUAUAUCCCUGGCUGCCCCUCCUUUCUCUUUCUCUUGGGUCUAGAUUGACUGUAUUCUAUAUUUAGAAUACGGAAUACACUCUAUUCUACCAGCUACCAGUAUAGUCAAGGAGAUGCUGACAUUCCUCUAACUCAUUGUGAGCUAACUCUGCCUCCAUCCAUCUGCCUCUCCCUAACAUGGGAAUUUGCUCUGGGCUCUUCAGAAGAAGGAUUUCACAUCAAAGUGUAUUCACAAUGAUUUGGCUAUUUUCACUGAAUAGGACUACAAAUCAGAAUCCACUGUGUCCAUCCAGUAGUAAGUGCAGACAAAUGGCAUUGUGGCUAAAUCUACAGCUUCGUUUAAAGAAGAAAACCCAGUCAAGACUUUAAGGUGCUAAUCCUGAGUCUCCUAUGGAGUCCACACAGCUUGGCUAUAUAGCAAAUCUCAGGCCCUUUUGAGACAGCAGGCUAACACUGCACUGUGGAAACAAUAUUUUGAUUUAUUUUCUUUGUUUUUCUUUGAGACAGUCUCACUCUUUUGCCCAGGCUGGAGUACAGUGGCAUAAUCUUGACUCACUGCAACCUCUACCUCUCAGGCUCAAGUGAUUCUCCUGCCUCAGCCUCUGGAGUAGCUGGGACUACAGGUGCGUGUCACCACAUCUGGCAAAUUUUGUAUUUUUAGUAUAGAUGAGAUUUCACCAUGUUGAUCAGGCUGGUCUUGAACUCCUGGGCUCAAGAGAUCCGCCCACCCUGGCCUCCCAAAGUGCUGGGAUUACAGGUGUGAGCCACCACGCCCAGCAGCUUUUUUAUUGGGUGACCGCUACAUUUGCUAUUGUAAAUAGACCCUAAGGUCCAGUGAUGCUACUUUAGUGGAGAAUUGGCUGCUGAUCCUGGAAGGAAACCCACCAAUUAGGGUAAUCAGCACAAAAAAAUAAAGAGCAUACAUUGAGUGCCUUCUUUUUUAGAAAACACCUGGAUUCAUCAAACAAGAUAGAACAAACAAGACAAAUCCUCUACUUGAGUUUUUGAAGGAAGAAUUUACUUAAUUUUGCAAGAAAUUUAUUUGAGAAGUUGGGUAGGAAGAAAGAGUAGUUCAUCCUCAUUUAUUCAUGUUAUUUCACCCUGAUAAGGUCUGCCUCCUGUCCUCAUUAAUCCCUCUACAUUCCCCAAUCCAAGGAAAACACCCAUCAGCUUGGUCUAGAAUUCCAGAAUCCUUUUCCUUUGCAUUAUGAAAGAGAAUAAAGAGUCUCUGUAGCAUGAGUUUGUUUGGUGACUAGAUGCUCUUUUUUCCUAGCCUUGGCAAGGUAAGAAGAGCAGCUGUGAGCAUUAACGAGACCAGAGUUCUGUGCCUGGAUCUGUUCUUCAUCUAUGGGUGACCUCACAAGUCCUCUGCCUCAAUUCUGUCACCGAAAGAAUGACCAUUUUAACUGGUCAGGCCCUGGCAUCAGGUUUUCCUACGCUGCACCCCUGGCUGAACACAGCAUUGGUCCUCUUCCCCAGAGGUGUCACGUCCCACCAGUCACGCUGCCAUUGAGAUAGGCAAAACCUGGUCCCAGGUGAGGGUGAUGGAGCAAUGUACAUCUCAUCUCCAGCCAUGCUGAUAACUCCCAGGUCACAGCCAAGGGCGCACACCUCUCACUGACAACCCCUGCAAGAGACCCCAGAGCCAGUGUGUGUUGGAGGAGCUGAUCCUCUGCUCACUAGAACGGUUGCCUCCUGGCUGCUCUUCAGCCUCACAACCGCACCCCUGCCCCAGCCCAGCCUCGCUUCCGGGGAGGAGACCGCCAUGGAUGAAAGGGCGUGGCUCCCUCCUCAGGUGCGGCCAGCCCCAUGGCAUGAAGGGGGACCUUGCCUUUCUCCUAGAAGUGUGCCCUGUAGAUGUGAGUCUCACAGUCUCCAUGCCUGGGCCACCUGGGGGUGUCUUCCUCCGGGGGUCACUUGGAGGAAGUGUUGUUGUUGUUGUUGUUGUUGUUGCUGUUUUCAGACAUACUUUAUGCUGUAUCUGUCUCACUUUUGUCAGAUGUGUCUGAUUUGCUCUUUUGUUUCUUGUCCUUAGGUAUGUGAGGUGUGUGGCCUUAAAGUCAGGAGGCUACAUCUCCCUCCAAUUAUAUUUCCCUUCGAUUGCAUUUCCUAUGACCUGGUCAUAUCUGAAAAAUCGAAAUUCCCUUUUCCUGGGCUCACAAUUAACAGAAAAAUAAAAACAAAAAUCCUGAGCAGCAAUGCAGAAGUUCUUCUCUCCCGGGUCAGUCAGCCUUGAAGCUCCUACAGGGUCAGGGCUGACUCUUCAGAAGCCCCCGAUCCAGCACCCCACACAAACAGGUGCAGAAGGAAAGAGGCUACAGUUUACAUGUAGUAUCUGCUAUAUAAAAAAAUAAAUAAAUAAAUAAAUAAAAAAA